GAUAUGGUUGCUCAGUGGUGGAGUGCAUAAGUUGUGUGAAUGAUGUCCUGGGUUCAAUCCCCAGCUUCUCU